GACGAACGCUGGCGGCGUGCUUAACACAUGCAAGUCGAACGGAAAGGCCUGCAGCUUGCUGCGGGUACUCGAGUGGCGAACGGGUGAGUAACACGUGGGUGAUCUGCCUUGCACUUCGGGAUAAGCUUGGGAAACUGGGUCUAAUACCGGAUAGGACAGCUGCUUCGUGUCGCUGGGGGAAGGUUUUUCGGUGGCAUAUGAGCUCGCGGCCUUUCAGCUUGUUGGUUGGGUAAUGGCCUGCCAAGGCGGCGACGGGUAGCCGGCCUGAGAGGGUGUACGGCCACAUUGGGACUGAGAUACGGCCCAGACUCCUACGGGAGGCAGCAGUGGGGAAUAUUGCACAAUGGGCGGAAGCCUGAUGCAGCGACGCCGCGUGGGGGAUGAAGGCCUUCGGGUUGUAAACUCCUUUCGACAGGGACGAAGCUUUUGUGACGGUACCUGUAUAAGAGGCACCGGCUAACUACGUG
rnacentral:rRNA from 1 species